rnacentral:rRNA from 1 species
UACAGAGGUCUCAAGCGUUGUUCGGAUUCAUUGGGCGUAAAGGGUGCGUAGGUGGUGAGGUAAGUCGGAUGUGAAAGCUCGGAGCUCAACUCCGAAAUGGCAUUGGAAACUACCUUGCUCGAGGGGAUGGAGGGGGGGACUGGAAUUCUCGGUGUAGCAGUGAAAUGCGUAGAUAUCGAGAGGAACACCGGUGGCGAAGGCGGAUCUCCUGGGCCAUUACUGACGCUGAGGAGCGAAAGCGUGGGGAGCAACAGG